GGGGAGGUUAGCGUGGUCAUUUCAGUUCGGCACAGUGCUGUGGUUGCACGCACCAGUAGCGUGGUCAUAUAUAUAUAUAUAUAUAUCUACGUACAGAAUACUGAUCAAUGCGCGAGCUACCUAGCUAGCUGUGCCCUGUAUAUGUAAGCUCAUCAAUCCACCUCACACGAUCCCGCGAGCUGAUGUGCUCUGCCGCGCAUUCCAUCCACGGCCUCGCCGGCGCCGAAGUAUCUACCUAGCUGCGCAGCGCCGCCAUGUCGGGCGAGCUCUCCACGCGCUCGUCGCCCUCGUUCGCCGCCUCGCCAUCCGGCGCCGACGACGCGCGGUCAGCAGGAGAGUCGACGCCGCUCCGGGUCGAGGCCGAGGGCAGCAGGUCCGGCGGCGGCGGCACGGGCGUGAAGCUCCGGCGGCGGUGGCAGCGGCGGCGGCAGCAGCUGUGGCUGGGGCAGUGGCGCGUCGGGGACACGUGGGCGCUGGACCCGCGCGCGAGGUGGGUCCGGGAGUGGAACCGCGCCUACCUGCUGGCCUGCGCGGCGGGGCUCAUGGUGGACCCGCUCUUCCUGUACGCCGUGUCGGUGAGCGGCCCGCUGAUGUGCGUCUUCCUCGACGGCUGGCUCGCCGCCGCGGUCACUGCGCUCCGCUGCAUGGUGGACGCCCUGCACGCGUGGAACUUCGUCACGCAGCUCCGCGUCGCGCGCGCCGCGGCCACGGCGGUUGCGCGGGGCCAGCGCGGGAUCGCGGACGAGGAGCAGGCCGCGGUGGACCGGGCCGAGGACGACGCCGCGGCCGCGCGAAGCCUGCCGGCGUACGCCAGGUCCAGGAGAGGGAUGGCGCUCGACUUCUUCGUCAUCCUCCCCGUGAUGCAGAUGGUGGUUUGGGUGGCGGCGCCGGCGAUGAUCCGUGCGGGGUCGACGACGGCGGUGAUGACGGUGCUGCUGGUGGCGUUCCUGCUGGAGUACCUGCCUAAGAUCUACCACUCCGUCUCCUUCCUCCGGCGGACGCAGGACAAGUCCGGCCACAUCUUCGGCACCAUCUGGUGGGGCAUCGUGCUUAACCUCAUGGCCUACUUCGUCGCCGCCCACGCGGUGGGCGCGUGCUGGUACCUGCUCGGGGUGCAGAGGGCCACCAAGUGCCUCAAGGAGCAGUGCUCCAUCUCCGGGCCGCCGGGGUGCGCGUCGGGGCCGCUGGCGUGCCCCAGCCCUCUCUACUACGGCGGCGCCGGCGCCGCGGCGUCCGUCGCCGGCGACAGGCUCGCGUGGGCCACAGACGCCACGGCCAGGAGCAUGUGCCUCGUGAGCGGUGACAAGUACCAGUUCGGGGCGUACAAGUGGACGGUGAUGCUGGUGGCCAACACGAGCCGGCUGGAGAAGAUGCUGCUCCCCAUAUUCUGGGGCCUCAUGACGCUGAGCACGUUCGGCAACCUGGAGAGCACGACGGAGUGGCUGGAGAUCGUGUUCAACAUCGUGACCAUCACGGGCGGGCUCAUCCUGGUCACCAUGCUCAUCGGCAACAUCAAGGCGUUCCUGAACGCGACCACGUCCAAGAAGCAGGCGAUGCACACGCGGCUGCGGAGCCUCGAGUGGUGGAUGAAGCGCAAGGAGCUGCCGCAGAGCUACCGGCACCGGGUGCGGCAGUUCGAACGGCAGCGGUGGGCGGCCACCCGCGGCGUGGACGAGUGCCAGAUCGUGCGCGACCUCCCCGAGGCCCUCCGCCGCGACAUCAAGUACCACCUCUGCCUCGACCUCGUCCGCCAGGUGCCGCUCUUCCAGCACAUGGACGACCUCGUCCUCGAGAACAUGUGCGACCGCGUCCGCUCCCUCAUCUACCCCAAGGGCGAGACCAUCGUGCGGGAGGGUGACCCGGUGCAGCGGAUGGUGUUCAUCGUGCGGGGGCACCUGGAGUGCAGGCAGGAGCUGCGGAACGGGGCGACGAGCUGCUGCAUGCUGGGGCCGGGCAACUUCACGGGCGACGAGCUGCUGUCGUGGUGCCUGCGGCGGCCGUUCGUGGGGCGGCUACCGGCGUCGUCGGCGACGCUGGUGACGCUGGAGAGCACGGAGGUGUUCGGGCUGGAGGCGGCGGACGUCAAGUACGUGACGCAGCACUUCCGCUACACCUUCACCAACGAGCGGGUGCGGCGGAGCGCGCGCUACUACUCGCCCGGGUGGCGCACCUGGGCCGCCGUCGCCGUGCAGCUGGCGUGGCGCCGCUACAAGCACCGCAAGACGCUCGAGUCGCUGUCCUUCAUCCGCCCGCGCCGCCCGCUGUCCCGCUGCUCCUCGCUCGGCGAGGAGAAGCUCCGGCUCUACACCGCCAUCCUCGCCUCGCCCAAGCCCAACCAGGACGACGACUUCUCCUUCUAGCUCUACCAUGCAUGCAUGCAUGCCCGCCGACCGCCGUCAUGAGUCAGAGCAGAGGUUGGUUCUAGCACAGGACACGGAUGCUCUGCCUGCUGGCUGCUGCUACUGAACUGGCUUUGUUUGUACAGAGAAGAGGACAAACAAGUGAGCUCAGCUACGAGUCAGGAAUGAACGAAAAGCGGUUGAGAUUGUGUGUGUUUGCAGAAUAUGGCGAUAUGAACUGUGAAACUUACCGUACAUACGUAGUACUUCUCUUAUACUCCAGUUUGCAGUGAAGCAAAUAGCCUUCAGUCGUAACAACAAGUCUGCAGUGAAGGUUGGUACGUCAAAGUCGUUGUAGUAUAGUGGUAAGUAUUCCCGCCUGUCACGCGGGUGACCCGGGUUCGAUCCCCGGCAACGGCGCUUUUUUUGGUUUUCCCAUUUCGUGCAAUUUUAGAAUUCCCGCUUUGUUUCUUUCUUUUUUUGAAAUCAAAAUAUGCGCUUUUUUAUUCUUUCCAAUUUCGUGCAGUUUUAAAUUCCCCCUUAGUUUCUUUUUUUUUUGAAAUCAAAAUAGGCGCUUUUUUAUUCUUUCCAAUUUCGUGCAGUUUUAAAUUUCUCCCAAUUGUUUCUUUCUUUUCUUGAAAGCAAAAAUAUGCGUUUCUUUCCAAUUGCUUUCCAACAAGCGUUUCUUUCCUCUCUUUUUUUGAGAACGUGUUUCUUUCCUAUUUUGAAACGAACGCGAACACAAAAAAAUUCGAUUGUACUGCUUGGAGCCGGCUUCGGAAUGCACGGAGUCGAUAAAAGGUGGGGCAACAUGGCCGGGUUCGAAGCCAACACAUUCUAUUCUCAUCUUGCUCCGGCGAGAACAAACUCCACCUCCACCUCCGCCUAGAAGCUUCAUUGCGCCGCUGUCAAUCGGCCGAUCGAUAAACCUGGCCACGGUCGACGACGGCGCCGAUCGAUCGAUGGACAAGAUGGCUUCGUUGACGAUGAACCAGCCCGACGACUCCACCAACACGACUGUCCGGCCUCAAGGCUGCGUUCUCGCGCUCCCAUCGCCCUCGGCUUUGGCGGGAGACAAGGAAGAAGAAGAGCCAGUUCUUGGUGGCGGAGAUCAGGCCGACGACAACGAGGAGGACGAGGUGUCGUACGACAACGAUGACAACUAUGACGAGGAGGAGAGCGACGGCGAGGUCGAGGUGCCAAUCAAGAUCGACUCACGCGUAGCGGCCGCAGCGAGCGGUGUCAAGGGCGGACCGCCGCUACUGCGGGGGCAGUACGUGCCCGAAGGCCGGUUCCUUGGGCCGGUACUGUAG
rnacentral:tRNA from 1 species